UGACGAAUAACAGUAUGAAUGACUUGAGUGACUUGGAUGCAUUAAAAAGCGUCAAAACUUUGAGAUAUUUAAGUUUGAUGAGAAAUCCAAUUUCGAAUAAACCCAACUACAGAUUAUACGUCAUACACAGCUUACCACAAAUAAGAGUUCUCGAUUUUCAGAGAAUAAAAUUAAGGGAACGUGAAGCAGCUACCAGACUGUUUGAGGAAAGUUGAAUUUUUGUGAAAGCUCAUGGUACAACAAGGCGUCACCCAAGAAAGAUUGUUAUUCCUUUCAGCUUAUAAGUCUUGUAAUUUUAAAUAUCCUUCUUAACAUCCAUGUGAACAAUAUUGCUCUGUUUAGCGUCAGGAUUGUGGCUGAAUAUGUGUUGACGGAUUGACUUAGAUAGGAAUAAAUGUGAAAUUCAAAGUAUU